GUCUUUUUGAUAAUAAUUUAAAGUCUGGCCUGCCCAAUGAUAAUUUAAAUGGCCGCGGUAUUUUGACCGUGCAAAGGUAGCAUAAUCAUUAGUUUUUUAAUUGAAAGCUUGUAUGAAAGGUUGAACGAGAAAAUUACUGUCUCAAUUUUAUUUAAUAAGAAUUUUAUUUUUAAGUUAAAAAGCUUAAAUAUUUUUAAAAGACGAGAAGACCCUAUAGAGUUUUAUAUUUUUAAUAUUAAAUUUUUUAAUUAUUUAUUAAAUUAUUAAUAAUAUUUUAUUGGGGUGAUAAAUAAAUUUGUUAAACUUUAUUUUUUUUUAAAACAUUUAUUUAUGAUUAUUAUGAUCCAAAUUUUUUGAUUAUAAGAUUAAAUUACCUUAGGGAUAACAGCGUAAUUUUUUUUAAGAGUUCAUAUCGAAAGAAAAGAUUGCGACCUCGAUGUUGGAUUAAAGUUUAUUUUUGGUGUAGAAGCUUAAAAAUUAAGUCUGUUCGACUUUUAAAACUUUACAUGAUCUGAGUUUAAACCGGUGUGAGCCAGGUUGGUUUCUAUCUUUAAAUAAUUAAAAUAUUUUAGUACGAAAGGACCAAAUAUUUAUAAAAUUUAUUUUAUUAUUGAAUAUUAUUGUUAUUUUGGCAGAUUAGUGCAUUAAAUUUAGAAUUUAACUAUGUAAUUUAUUACAAAUAAUACUUGUUUUAUAAAGAUUUAAUUUUAAUAUUAGUUAGAAGUUUAUUGUUAAUUAUUUGUGUUUUAAUU
rnacentral:rRNA from 1 species